GCAACGUGUGUGUACGGUUGUGUGCUGC
rnacentral:piRNA from 1 species